rnacentral:lncRNA from 1 species
AUAUUCCUAAAACUAUUCCAUAAAAUAGAAAGAGAAGAAACACUACCUAAUUCCUUCUAUGAAGCCACAAUUACUCUGAUACCUAAACCACACAAGGAUGCAACCAAAAAAGAGAACUUCAGACCAACCUCGCUUAUGAAUAUCGAUGCAAAAAUACUCAAUAAAAUUCUUGCAAAUGGAAUCCAAGAAACAUCAAAACCAUCAUUUACCAUGAUCAAGUAGGCUUCAUCCCAGGGAUGCAAGAUUGGUUCAAUAUACAAAAAUCCAUUAACGAAAACCACUACAUAAACAAAUUCAAAGAAAAAAAAUCACAUGAUCAUUUCCUUAGAUGCUGAAAAAGUAUUUGACAAAAUAUGACACCCUUUAAUGUUAAAAGUGUUGGAGAGAUCAGAAAAUAAAGGUCAAUACCUAAACAUAAUAAAAGGAAUAUAAGUAACUAACAUCCAAUAUCAAAUUAAAUGGACAAAUCAUUGAAGCAAUCCCACUAAAACUGGGGACAAGACAAAGAUGCUCACUCUCCCCAUAUUUGUUCAAUAUAGUACUUGAAGUGCUAGCUAGAAGAAUAAGACAAGAAAAAGAGACCAAGGGGAUAGAAAUUGGCAAAGAAAAAAUAAAGGUAUCACUUUUUGCAGAGGCUAUGAUAGUAUACAUAAGUGAACCCAAAAAUUCUACCAGGGAACUUCUCCAGCUGAUAAACAACUUCAACAAAGUGGCUGGAUAUAAAAUUAACUCAAAUAAAUUAGCAGCCUUUUUUUAAUAUAUACAAAUGAUAAACAGGCUGAGGAAGAAAUUAGUGAAACAGCUCCCUUCAAAACAGCCACAAAUAAUAUAAAAUAUUCUGGGGUAACUCUAACCAAACAAAUGAAAGAUGUAUAUGACAAUAACUUAAAGUCUCUCAGAAAAGAAGUUGAAGAAGAUCCCAGAAAAUGGAGAGAUCUACCCUUCUCAUGGAUUGGCAGAAUUAACAUAGUAAAAAUGGACAUCUACAGAUUCAAUGCAAUCCCCAUCAAAAUCCCAACACAAUUCUUCCAAGACAUGGGAAGAGCAAUUCUCAAAUUCAUCUGGAAAGGCAAAAAACCCAGAAUAGCAAAAACAAUUCUAAUCAAUACAAGAACAACUGGGGGAAUCACCAUCCCUGACCUCAAGCUUUACACAGAGCAAUAGUGAUAAAAACUGUAUGUUGGUGCAGAGACAGACAUAUUGAUCAAUGGAAGAAAAUUGAAGACCCAGAAAUAAAACCACACAUUUAUGGACACUUGAUCUUUGACAAAGAAGCCAAACAUAUACAAUGGAAAAAAGAAAGUAUCUUCAACAAAUGGUGCUGUUCUCAUUGGCUGUCUAUUUGUAGAAAAAUGAAAAUAGAGCCAUAUUUGUCACCUUGAACCAAGCUCAAGUCCAAGUGGAUCAAUGACUGCAACAAAAAACCAGAUACACUGAAUCUAAUAGAAGAGAAAUUGGGAAAGAGACUUGAACUCAUUGGUACAGGGAGAAAUUUCCUAAACAGAACUCGAAUAGCUCUUAUUCUAAGAUCAAGAAUUUAAAAAUGGGACCGCAUGAAUCUAGAUAGUUUCUGUAAGGCAAAGAACAUAUUCAAUAAGACAAAUUGGCAACCUACAGACUGGGAAAAAAACUUCACUAACCCCACAUUCUUUUUUAAAAAUAAAUUUACUUUUUGCACUCCAUAUUUUAUACCCCCUCACAAACCACCCUCUGACUGUUCCACGUCCCAUACCUCCUCCCCACACUCCUGUCUCCACGUGGAUGUCCCCACGCCCCACCCCACAUGACCUGUAAACUCCCUGGAACCUCCACAGUCUCUUGAGGGUUAGGUGCAUCAUCAUGAACACAGACCUGGAAGUCCUCUACUGUAUGUGUGUUGGGGGCCUCAUAUCAGCUGGUGUAUGCUGUCUGUUUGUUGGUCCAGUGUUUGAGAGAUCAUGGGGGUCCAGAUUAAUUGAGACUGCUGGUCCUCCUACAGGAUCACCCUUCUCCUUAGCUUCUAUCAGCCUUCCCUAAUUCAAGAACAGAGGUUGGCUGUUCUGUCCAUUGGUUGGGUGCAAAUAUCUGCAUUUGACUCUUUCAGCUACUUAUUGGGUCUUUCAGAGGGCAGUUAUGAUAGGUCUCUUUUUGUGAGUGCUCCAUAGCCUCAGUAUUAGUGUCAGGGCUUAGGGUUUUCUCUUGAGCUGGACUCCACUUUGGGCCUGUAGCUGGAACUUCUUUUCCUCAGGCUCCCCUCCAUUUUCAACCCUGUAAUUCUUUCAGUUAGGAACAAUUAUGGGACAGUUGUGACUGGGAUUGAAACCCUAUCCCUCACUUGAUAUCCUGUCUUCCUGCUGGAGGUGGGCUCUAUAAGUUCCCUCUCCCUGCUGUUGGGCAUUUUGUUUAAGGUGCCAUCUUUGAGUCCUGAGAGUCUAUCAACUCCCAGAUCUCUGGUGCAUUCUGGAGGGUCCCCCCAACCUCCUAUUUCCUGAAGUUGCCUGUUUCCAUUCUUUUUGCUCCUCCUCAGGGCUUCAGUCCUUUUCUCUCACCCAAUACCAGAUCAGGUUCCCCUGAUCACUUUCCCUCCUAGGUCCCUCCCUUCCUUACUCCCUCCAUCCCUCCCCCCUCCUUCCGUCCCUCCGCAUUUGUGCUAAAUCCACAUUCUAUAGAGGCUAAUAUCCAAAAUACAUAAAGAACUCAAGAAGGUAACUACCAAAAAACCAAAUAACCCAAUUAAAAAAAGGGGGUAUAGAACUAAGCCAAGAAUUCACAAUAGAGGAAUCUUGAAUGGCUGUGAAGCACCUAAAGAAAUGUUCAAAGUCCUAAGUGAUCAGAGAAAUGCAAAUCAAAAUGACCCUGAGAUUCCACCUUACACCAAUCAGAAUGGCUAAGAUAAAAACCUCAGGUAACAACACAUGUUGGUGAAGAUGUGUAAAAAGAGAAACAUUCCUCCAUUGCUGGUGGGAUUGCAAACUGGUACAACCACUCUGGAAAUCAAUCUGGAGGUUCCUCAGAAAACUGGAAAUCAAUCUACCUAAAGACCCAGCAAUACCACUCUUGGGAAUAUACCCAAAAGAUGCCCCACCAUGCCACAGGGGCACAUGUUCCACUAUGUUCAUAGCAGCCUUGUUUGUGAUAGCCAAAAGCUAGAAACAACCCAAGUGUCCCAUGACAGAAGAAUGGAUACAGAAAAUGUGGUUCAUUUACACAAUGGAGUACUACUCAGCUAUUAAUAAUGAGAAGAUCCUGGGUUUUGCAGGUAGAUGGAUGGAACCAGAAAAUAUCAUCUGAGUGAGGCAACUCAGACCCAAAAGUACAUGCACGGUAUGUACUUGUUAAUAAGUGGAUAUUAGCAACAAAAAAUACGAAUACCCAAGAUACAUUUCACAGAACUUAAAAAGGUCAACAUGCUGAAGGGCCCAAGUUAGGAUGCCUCAGUUCCACUUGGGAGGGAGAAAAAAGCAAACACAAGGGAGGAAGGAGGGGGGAGCCUCGGAGGGAAAGUGGAUGGGGUCAGGGGUGGAGGGCAACCUGAUCUGGUAUUUUGUGAUGGAAAAUGACUGAAGCCCUGAGGGCCAGCAGAAAGAAUGGAAACAAGGCAACCUUCGGAGAUGGGAAUUUGGAGGGACCCUCCAGACCUGGGGUGAGAGAGACUCUCAGGACUCAAGUAGAGGGACCUUGGAUGAAAUGCCCAACAGUGAGGAGGGAACUUAUAGAGCUCACUUCCAGCAGAAAGACAGGGCAACGAGUGAGGGAGGAUGUUGCCAACCCUCUGUCAAAACUCUGACCCAUAAUUUUUUUUUUUUUUUUUUUUUGUCUGAAAGAAAUGCAGGGAUGGAAAUGGAGAGGAACCAGAGGAUAAGAAAGUCCAGUGACAAGCUCAAAGUGGGAUCCAGAUUAAGGGCAUGGCCUGACACUAUUACUGAGGCUAUGGAGCACUCACAAAAAGGGACUGUCCUGUGCUAUUGUCCCCGCCUGCAGGAACGCACACAGGACACAAGAUCCUUCCAUAGCUACUUUAUUACAUCUUGACGAGAAAAGGCAAAGAAGGCUCAGAAACUUGUUGCUUAAAUACCCCCUGGUGUGACGUGUCCAUAUCUGACUGGCGGCCUCACCCACGAUCUCAAAAUACCCCGGGGAUGGGCUAGUGACUUUGGCGGGCUUUUGCUCCUAGUACAUGCGCACAUAGCUUGCUCUUUGUUUAGGUGGCAUAAGGCGGAGCCAGCGCCAUCUUAUGAUGGUAAAUGUUAUUGCGGCUCUCCACAAGGGACCUAUCAUGACUACCCUCUGAAAGACUCAGUAAGUAGCUGAAAGAGUCAGAUGCAGAUAUUUGAACCCAACCAAUGUACAGAAGUUGCUGACCCCUGUGGUUGAAUUGGGGAAAGGCUAGAGGAGGCUGAGGAAGAGGGUGACCCUGUAGGAGGAUCUGUAGUCUUAAUGAACUUGGAUGCCCAAGAUCUCUCAGACACUGGACCACCAACCAGGCAGCAUACAUCAGCUGAUUUAAGGCCCUCAAACGUAUAUAGCAGAGGACUUCUGGGUCUGGGUUCUGUCAGAGAAGAUGCACCUAAUCCUCUAGAGACUGGAGG